rnacentral:misc_RNA from 1 species
GUUUUCCUCUGCGUAGUGCAUCUUGCGUGCGGUGAUCGUCAUUCUGCAUUGGCGUUUGUGACCCUACGUUUUGCGAUUUGCGAACCACACGCCGAAUUACGCAGACACACCUAAAUAUGACGACGCACGGAGAGCUCGAGGAAUAACGUAACGACGCACCAGAGACUCGAAGAAUAAUGUGACGACAUCGACGACGCACCGAGCGGCACACAUUCCGAACGAGGUCGUAUCAACAAACACUGUUGUACGCGCGCAAAAAAACAACGCCGCCGUUACCUACUCACCGUUUUUCCACGAACGUUCAACGUACGUUGCGAAAUACAAAAAAUUUAACGCGCUUCGCGAAAUACAUCGCGAACACACUAUUUCCCGCGUUCCGCGGUAAUUAUUUACUUUGAAUAUGCCAAUAUUUUUUCCAUAACCUGUUUCUCGACACAGACGAUUUGUCGUGUUACUCGGCGCUCUCAAUCUAGUGGAUGAGUUACAUCGAAAUUGGUGAAAAAUUCAAAAACGUGACGCGUGAUAUGCACAAAUUCGGACGUCGUCAAAAGAGAUUCUCGCCCAUGCGAGCAUCGCGAUGCAAAAAAAAAAUAAUCCUCCCGAGAGUUCCAAUUCCUAUCACAAGCAAAAGGCUCGAAUGUAUUGUGACGAUCCAGGAGCGGCACGCGCCUCUUUCUAUUCGCUUGAGUCUCAGUACCGAACGAUAGUAGAGCCGACUUCGUAAAAACAAACAGCACACUGUAGGUUAUCAAACAAAUGCCAGGCAUUGAGCAUCAGCCAGCUUGUAGCAGAGCAAACUCUUCGAGGUUGCUCGGGCAACCAGCAAACACAAAGAAACCAACCACCACUAGCCGCGAGACGCGAGACUCGAGAACUCGCGGGGGCGGCGGCGGCACGGCUGUAGCAAUUCCGAGGAAUCGCGUGGAGUGGAGUAUGAAAAAGAGGCCCUUCGGACCAUUUCGAUGUGAAUGACUGAUGACCUAAUCGACGCCCUAAACGAUGCGCUGCGAAAACGACUACACCGUUCUUGAUUGGGGAGGAUCGACAGUCACAUCUGGAAUUCUAGGAUCAAUACAACGAAGGAUAUAUCUCUAUAGUGCGGACCAUCCGAAAAGAUUCACUCCUAUCAAUCCCGACAGCUCUCUACGAGAUCUUCUAAGAGGCA